GUUCGUUUGAGCUACAACAUAUCAUAAAAGAUGUUUCGUCUUGUCGUCUUCGCUUGCAUUGCUCUUUGUCUAGUACAAGGAUCUUUUCUUCCUGCACAACCUUAUAAUUACGGAUACGCCGUCAAUAAUCUCUUCAGCCACCAGUACAAACAAGAAACCGG